rnacentral:snoRNA from 1 species
CCGACGUGGAUAUCCAGCGAGUCUUUCUCCUGGCUCUGUCCUGGUGGCGUAUGGGAGCGUAGCCUCGAGCUAAGACGUACAUUCCCGUUCCACGACGUCGCACAAAAAAGUUCCAUCCCCGACUUUGCGGUCGGCGAGGAUGAACGUCCUGUAUAUUCCUACAACUUCCCAGAGUCCUUUGGGGCCGUGACUGGGGAGCCAAACCAUGCAGUGCACAUUC